UCACCCAAUGCCCUCCAACUCACCCUCUAGUGAUGCCAAAUCGUUUCGGUUCUUUUAAGAAGAGGACAUAAUUCCAUUCUAACUGAAUCCAAGAAUUCAGUUUCCGACGACGACUUUGAACUGGAUACCUUUGUUAUAGCAUAGAGGCUGAAUUCAGAAUGUCUGCAAGGGAGAAAAU